rnacentral:rRNA from 1 species
GGAAGCAAAUAAGAGUGUAUGGGGAAUGCCUAGGCUCUCAGAGACUACGAAAGACGUGAUAAGCUGCGAAAAGCUGCGGGGAGGUGCAAAUAACCUUUGAUCCGUGGAUGUCUGAAUGGGGAAACCCACAUGGUUGAAGACCAUGUACCUAUUUAUAGGAGAAAACCCAGGGAACUGAAACAUCUAAGUACCUGGAGGAAAAUAAAACAAUAGUGAUUCCGCAAGUAGUGGCGAGCGAACGCGGACCAGCCCUAAAGCUGUUAUAUGACAAGUAGAAUGUAUUGGAAAGUACAACCAAAGAAGGUGAUAGUCCUGUAUACGUAUGUUAUAUAAUGGUUAUUCGAGUAAGGCGAAGCCGGUGAAACUUUGUCCGAAAAUAGCAGCACCAUCUGCUAAGGCUAAAUACUCCUGAGAGACCGAUAGUGAACCAGUACUGUGAAGGAAAGGUGAAAAGAACCCCAAGAAGGGGAGUAAAAAGAACCUGAAACCAUACACUUACAAGCGGUCGGAGCCCAAUAGGGUGACGGCGUGCCUUUUGCAUAAUGAGCCUACGAGUUAGUCGUAUGUGGCAAGUAUAAGUUCUUAAGGAACGAAAGCGAAGCGAAAGCGAGUCUGAAUAGGGCGACAUAGCCACAUGCGCUAGACGCGAAACCUGGUGAUCUACCCAUGAGCAGGUUGAAGCAAGGAUAGUAUCCUUGUGGAGGACCGAACCAAUAUAUGUUGAAAAAUGUUUGGAUGACUUGUGGGUAGGGGUGAAAGGCCAAUCAAACCAGGAGAUAGCUCGUACUCCCCGAAAUGCAUUUAGGUGCAGCGUUGAGUUAGAGUAUCAUGGAGGUAGAGCUACCAAUAGGGCUAGGGGGCUUCACCGCCUACCAACCCCUGAUGAACUCCGAAUGCCAUGAUAUGUUUCUCAGCAGUGAGGCUAUGGGUGCUAAGGUCCAUAGCCAAGAGGGAAACAACCCAGACCAUCAGCUAAGGUCCCUAAAUUUCAGUUAAGUUGAAUGAACGAGGUGGGAAUGCUAAGACAGCUAGGAUGUUGGCUUGGAAGCAGCCAUUCAUUUAAAGAGUGCGUAACAGCUCACUAGUCGAGCGUUCCUGCGCGGAAAAUAAUCGGGCAUCAAACUGAAUACCGAAGCUAUGGAUUUGCAAUUUAUUGCAAGUGGUAGGGGAGCAUUGUAGUGGCGCUGAAGGUUGACUGUGAGGUCAAUUGGAGUAGCUACAAAAGCAAAUGUAGGCAUGAGUAACGAUAAAAGGGGUGAGAGACCCCUUCGCCGAAAGACUAAGGUUUCCUCGAUCUAUGCUAAUCAGAUCAGGGUUAGUCGGGACCUAAGGAGUAGCCGAAAGGCGAAUCCGAUGGCAAACGGGUUAAUAUUCCCGUACCUACUAUAGAAUAAAAGUGACGGCGCUUACGGCGUAUCGCGUACUGACGGAAUAGUACGUUGAAGGCUUCGGCCGAUAGUACAUGGACUCCUCCGGGAAGAAAUGAUAGUGUACUUAGUAAGCGUCCAAGAAAUAGCGACUAUAGCAGCCCGUACCGUAAACCGACACAGGUAGUCGAGAAGAGUAUUCUCAGGCGCUCGAGUGAUUCGUGGCUAAGGAACUAGGCAAAAUGGUCUCGUAACUUCGGGAGAAGAGACGCUCUAAUUAAAAUUGGAGCCGCAGUGAAGAGGCCCAGGCGACUGUUUAGCAAAAACACAGGACUCUGCAAAAUCGAAAGAUGAAGUAUAGGGUCUGACACCUGCCCGGUGCUGGAAGGUUAAGGAAGGUUGUUAGUCUUCGGACAAAGCAAUUGACUGAAGCCCCAGUAAACGGCGGCCGUAACUAUAACGGUCCUAAGGUAGCGAAAUUCCUUGUCGGGUAAGUUCCGACCU